rnacentral:rRNA from 1 species
GAUGAACGCUGGCGGCGUGCUUAACACAUGCAAGUCGAACGAGAAGUGGAGACGGAAACCUUCGGGCGGAAGACUUUAUUUCGAGUGGCGGACGGGUGAGUAACGCGUGGGUAACCUGCCUCAUACAAGGGGAUAACAGUUGGAAACGACUGUUAAUACCGCAUAAGACCACAGCACCGCAUGGUGCGGGGGUAAAAACUCCGGUGGUAUGAGAUGGACCCGCGUUCGAUUAGCCAGUUGGCGGGGUAACGGCCCACCAAAGCGACGAUCGAUAGCCGAUCUGAGAGGAUGACCGGCCACAUUGGGACUGAGACACGGCCCAAACUCCUACGGGAGGCAGCAGUGGGGAAUAUUGCACAAUGGGGGAAACCCUGAUGCAGCGACGCCGCGUGAGUGAAGAAGUAUUUCGGUAUGUAAAGCUCUAUCAGCAGGGAAGAAAAUGACGGUACCUGAGUAAGAAGCCCCGGCUAACUACGUG